ACUGCUGUGUGCUAUGUGCUUCCAUAGCAACCUCUGUGGCACAGAGAGAAUGCUCGCAGCAGCAAGACAAUGGAAAGCCCAGACCAAGGUAGCUUACAUCUCAGGAAUGUUUACUGGCUCCCAUUCUUAGAAGAGCCAAGGUGAGGCGGCUCUCAGAGCCAGCAUGAUACAAUCUACACACCUGAUCGUCUCUCCACUCCACCACUCACAGUGCUGGUUGCUUUGUAAGGCUGUUCCGCCCACUGCUGGAGGAGGACGGCCAUGGCAAGCCAGGCUAUCAGCUUCCUCUUCUGGGGCCAGGAAGAAAGACAGAGCCUGGGCGACAGAGACAGAGAGUCUUCCUGCAGCUCUCUUCUUAAGAGACAGUGCUGCUUCCCGGAAGACUUCAGCAAACCUUGCCAACUUUAAUUGAACGCAAAUGGACACAUGGCCUUUUCUGAACCAACUGCUGAUUCGUGAGACACGUCCACAGGCAUGAAGUUUCGGUUCACACAUUUUCACAGACACCUCCUGAUGUGUGAACGUAUUCGUUCAUUCUCCUGUUCAGCACUGAGGAGGAUGCUUUAACGGCUACAGAGGAAGCUGCCAUGAACAGGCUCGGUACACGACUCCAUAUUCCUAGCGGAGUUUCUCUGCAGUGUAUCAGUAAGAACAGCAUCCCUGAGUCCUAAGGUACAGGAAUCUUAACCUUUGUUCUCCUCCGUAGAGGCUGUACCAUGCUCGGUCUCCACCAGCUGGGCGUGAUGGUUCUGCCCCCACACACACUCUCGCCCGCACAUGCGAGUCCAACAUCUCCCCUCCCCAGGUCACCACUGGCAUUUGCCUGUUCCAAGGAGUCAGGCUUCUUGAAACGGUCUGUCACUCCUGCUGGUCUCCAAACUCCACGGAGGCAAAGACUGUUUACUUCCUUCUCUCCCAGACCCUGGACAGUGCUCAGCACUUAGGAAGUUUCAUGAGGGAAAGAAGGCCAGAUGCUGAGCUUUACUGAAGCCAGGGCCCCAGCCACCUUCUCUGGGUAAAUCUUUGGCUAUGCCGUUAACAGUACGGAGGGCGGGUGGGAGGUGCUGGGAAAGGCUUGCUAUGAGCUGAAUCAGCACACGCUCUGUCUGCAGGGUGGGGAAAAGAGGCGGCCCUCCAGCUGCCGAUCAGUCUCCUCAAGAUCAGCCUCAUCCAGGAGUCCUUGUCCCCUGCCCUUCCCCCACGGAGCUUUGGGUCACUAGCCCCUCUCCACGCCUCCUGGCCAGGGUCUCCCUCAGCCUCUGGCUCAGGCUCAGUCGUUCAGGUUCAUCUGAUUUACCCUCUGAUCAAGAUGGGGGCAGGGAAGCGGGGGUGGGGGGGGGGUCCGAGGAUGAGGAGGAAGGCAGUCUUCCUGGUCCCGCCCAGCAGGCAGCAUCCCAAACCUCAACUUCUCAGUUCAGGACUCUGAUAAAGGAAUUUGGUGGUCCUUCUGCUUUUUAAAUUCCUCCUUCUAUUGUCCUCACUUAAAAUGGGCCAAAUUCCUAGAAAAAGACAAGUGUGCACCACACCCAAGUCGUGCAUCCAAACUUUUCUGUUUCUAACAAAUUCAGGGGGCAGGGGCGCCCUCUGGAGGCCUAUGAAAGUGUGUGCGGGCAUUUUUCGCUUUUUCCCUGCUUGGGAAUUGAAUGGGUCAGGGGCAGGGAGGAGUGAGACCCAGCAUGAGCCGGACAGGCCCACACAGGGAGGAACUGUCCGGCCUAACAUGCCCAUCGCUCCCUUGUUAAAAAACUCUGCGGGCUCCAGGAGGCUGAGGACAAGUGUGUCCCCAACACCUGGCCUGGAUGGGAGCUCCGCAAACACCUGCUAAGGGAACGAAGGCAUGUGUGAACGUGGUAUUCUACCGCCCCAGCCUGCAGAACUCAAGGGCCCACUACAAGCACACCUUGAAAACCAGGGUGUUAACUCCUCGGUCAGAAAAAGAUAGGAAUCUGAGGGGAAAUUAUCCUUCCUGCCGGAGGGGGCAGGGGAAACAUAUCUGUAUCUCAGACUUCACAAAGCAGCUAAAACCUUACAGGCACCCUCACCUGCCUAACAAUGGCCAUGAAUGAACCCGGCGGGGCAAACUUUGCCAAAGGAAUUACGUGGGCUUUUGAGCGAGAGUGAAGGGAAUUCCCAAGCUCAUCUAAUGAGAGAGGAGAGAGCGAGGGACAAAGAGCCGGGCUCUGGAUCAGAAGCCAAAGGGUCAGACCUCGGCUGGGACACCUAGUAGCGAGCUGGCAGUCGCCAAACCUCUCCAGCCUUGUCUUCCUCAUCUAUAAAACAGGGACAAUGACACUUACCCUAGAGGACAAUGUGAGGAUUAGACGAUCGCACAAGUAAAGCACAGUGCCUGGACCUGAAGAAACACACCAUCGCCAUCAUCAGUUAAUUAUCUGAAAGGCAACCCCAGAGGGACGGCAGUAACAAAGCCGCCGAUCACCUUGGGGAACAGAACAGACACGUGGCCAUUCUUUUACCCAAGGGCUUAUGCAGACCAGCAGACCACGGAACGCUGUGUUCCUAAGAGACACAAAUGAAGUCGUUUUAUUCUGCCCCUAAGUCAUCUUGUUCCCUGUUGAACAACACAGCAUUGUGACUCAUGUUAAUGAUGAUUCUGUUUCUCUAUCUCUGAGAUGAUAAAUACUUCACUUUUAGGCCUCACUUGCAGAAAACGAAGGCCCUCCAGCUAACUUACUCCGCAAACUUAUACAAAUUCUCUUUACUUCCCCCACCCUCCAUCUCCUCCCCACCCAAGGCCACUGCUGACAUUUGGCUGUUCCAGGGAGUAGACGAGUGCUUAAUCCAGUAACUUCAAACAUCGAUAAUGAUGAAAACACUUGGCAUCUGUUUUCUGUGGAAACAUGAAAGCUUCCAAGCAAUAUUUACAGAACCCACUUCCGCAACCACUGCUCUCCAGUUUGAUGAAGGAACAGUAAAACAUGACGUUCCAGAUCAGUUACAAGCUGUUCCUGGACUGUGUCAGGGCCAAUCUUUUAUCGUUUCAAAUUUAGGAGUCCGCCACUAGAAAAUAAUCACUUACCAGCUGAUGCAGCAAAUGCUCUCUCCUCUCACUCCCAGGCAAUACAGUUUGGGGUCUUCUUGACUCAAAUCGCAACCAAAGCCCCUUCCACACAUUUCGGAGAUGGCUGGGGAUCGGGGGAUUAAUUCCCUACCAGGAGAAUGUGAAUUGGGGCAUGUUCAUGAGUUCAUCAGUCUUUUAGUAAAGAUGCUCUGGCAUAAACAAAUCAACGAGGGAACAGGGAAGGGGAAUUUAAAAAUAAAAAAACCCAACUCGGUCCCCAUUCAGAACAGUGGGAAAAUCCUCCCCAGGAGAGCCUGUGUGCAGCCUGCAAUUUUCACCCAUCCAAUUUCACGCCACAGUAUCGGAUGUGAAGCAAACCCACCAUCCCUCAAUAUCACUACGUGUAUGAGGCCGAAUCAUGAGCCCCAAAGACAUCAGGUCCUAACACCUGGAACCAGUGACUGUGACCUUAUAUGCUAAAAGGGGUCUUUGUAGAUGUGAUUAAAUUUAAAAUCUUGAGAUAGGGAGAUUAUCCUGGAUCAUCUAUGGGCCCUAAAUGCCAUCACAAGUGUCCGGCAAAGGGCGAUCAAACACAGAAGAUAAGGACCUAUGGCCACGGGGGCAGGGACGGUGACACAGCCCUAGCCAAGGAAUGUCAGCAGCCACCAGACACUGAUUUUCCCCUAGAGCUCCCAGCACAAACGAGUCCUGCUGACACCAUGACUAGGACCCGAUGGAACUGAUUUUGGAAUUCUGGCCUCCAAAGCUAAGGACAUAAAUUGCUGUUGUUUGAAGCCCCUAUGACGCACUUUGUCUGUGGCACUUUGUUAGAGCAACCAUAGCACACUAGUAUAACUAGGCAAAUAAAAGGCAGAUCAGAGAGAGUUAAGAAUUUAGCACUGUAAAGAAUUUAAUGCAAUCCUCCCUGUGUUUCUGUUUGAUACAUCAGAGAGGAGGCCAAGGGCCGUGACAAAUCCACCCACAGUGGGAGGCAGAGCUGAAACCAGGUCUUCUGAGUCGCGCAGUUCUUUCUAAGGAAGGGAGGUCCAGCCUUUGGCCUGUGCGGGUACCCUCCUAACUUUCUCAGACUUUUCCAGGGCUCUACAAUACUGUCCCCUCUGGCGGCACAGGCCACAGGUUACUGUUUAAAUUUGAAUUAAUUACAAGUAAAUAAAAUUUAAAAUUCAGUUCCUUGGCGUUCCUGGUGCAGUGCUAGGGGAUAGGUAUGGCUCUGUAGCACCAGGAUGCAGGUUCAAUCCCCAAGCCGGCACAGUGGGUUAAAGGAUCCGGCCUUGCUACAGAUGCAGCAUAGGUUACAACUGAGGCUCAGAUCUGAUCUCUGGCCCAGCUAUAUCAUAUGCUGUGGUGGCCAAAAAGGAAAAAAAAAAAAAAAAAUUCAGUCCCCUCAAUCAUAUGAGCCCCAUUUCAAGAGUCCUCCUCUCACAUGUGGCUAAAAGCUACCGGGUGCCCGGCAUGGACAUAUAAACAUUCCCAUUAUUACAGGAAGUUCGACUGCAAGUGCUGGGCCGGACUCAGGGAAGGCCCAGUGGACUUCUCACUGACCUUAAAAACCCCACAUCCGUCUGUUCAGACUAUGUUCCCACACCAUGGACACUGGCUGGCGUGCCCUGGGGCCCCGUAAGGAUGUGCAUGAAGGCGCAGGGUGGCACAAAGGGCUGUGACUCCUCGAACUGCCUCUUGUCGGGUCGGGCUUUCCCACGUGCUCCGAGGGAUGCUGCAACACAGGCCAAGGACCACAUUCUGGGCCCAGGAGCAGCACAGGGGGUCUGAGAACAAGACGGUGGGGCUAGACGCUCCUCAGACUCUCCCUCGACCCAGCUGUUGCUCCAGGAGAGGUUACAGAGUGUUCAGGGCAGCUCCCUGCUUGUUCAGGUGUCUGCGGGGAUGCUAAGAGAAAUUGGACACUCUCUCUAGAGAAUAUCAAUGAAUACUGCGUGCCCUCUGCAGUUCAAAAGCAAAGCCACGGUCUCCGUUGAUCCACACAACCACUGCUGAAGCAGAGAACUCCAUUUUAUAACUGAGACAACUGGGGUUCAAAGACACAAGAAGAUGACUUGCCAAAGAUAUGCAAGGAGGCCAAGAUUCCAGUGAAAAAUUCUGACUCAAAAAUUUGCCUUUCGCACAACUUCCUCUUCUUCCUUCUUCCCUGAAGACACAGAGAGAUGUCCAGGCCUUCCAGAAACACAGACCCGGUCCUGCUCCCCUGGGCACCCAGGUGGCACUGGGCAGGGCCUUCCUCCAUCAGUCAAGUGGUCCUGAAGCCCGGUUUUCACAUCUCACUCUUUCCCCCCAGGGAAGUUGCAAAGUUAAGUCCAAAGGGAAAUGAGACAAAUACAUGGAACUGGAUUUCUGGGCUGUCCACUCCAGAAAAGGAGGAUUUUACACAACUUCACUUCAGAGGAGUGAAUUCCUUACACUGACACAGGAAAUGAUGUAUCACAACUGAGAUGGAGUUUUAAAGACAACAAGAGGCACUGGUCUCCAUGGGGCCAUAUGUUCCUGAGUUUCUAGAUUUCUAAUACAUACACACAAGCUAGGAUUCCAUGGACACUCACACUAUUCCAAGAACAAGAUCACUGAAACUCAUUUAAACCUCACCAAGUGAAGUGCCAUCAUUUAAUCCUCACCACAACUCUAUGAGGUGGGUAUGAUCAAUCACCCCAUUUCACAACUGAAGAAACUGAGGACCAGGGAGUUUGCGUAAAUUUGCCCUCCAUCAGCACAGCUCAUAGGCAACAGAGGUGGGAUCUGAAUACAGGUCUGUCUGAUUCCAAACUGCUGAUGGUGGCAGUAUUCUGAUGCUCAACAAAGUCUGAAACAGCCAUUUGGGAUGUGUGGGACUUUGUCAUGGAAAAUAGAGCCCUGGGGAGAAAAGAAGCUUUCAAAAUAUUUGAGUGGUUUCUAGGUGGCACAUGUAUAUCACAUUUUGAACAUAUUCCUAUUCCACGCUUAGCAUUUUCAUGGUCAGUAUUUGCCUUUUGGAAAGGCUAUCUUGAUCUUCAGCAGAAAAGUCCAGAACUCUUCAAAGUCAAAAAAUCAAAAGAAAUCUUAAGCGUUUAGGAAAAAUAGAACCAAGAGUACGGAGUCUGUUUCUCAGAAAAAUAUACAUUUAUGACAAGUUAUAUUUCUAGAUGAGACUGCUUCCUGACUCUAAAAAUCUAGGGCUCUUUAAAAAAAUUAUUAUGGAAAUUCUCGAGCAUUCAUUAAAGAGAAGAUGGCAUAAUAAACCUUUAUGAAUCCACCAUUCAGUUUCAACAGCUACAGACCCAUGGCCAAUCCUGCUUCAUAUGUGACCCCCAUACUCACUUUGCUUGCUGGUAUUUUUAAACAAAUCCCAUACAUAUAUCACUUCCCCCUGUGAAUAUUUCCAUAACGCAUAUUUAACUGAUAAGGACACCUUUUUAAACAUCAAUCACAAAGUCAUCAUCACAUUUAACAAAAUUACAAUAAUCUCUUAACAUCAUCUGAAACCUGAUCGUACUCAAAUUUCCCCAAGUGUCCCCCAAAAUGCCUUUUUUUAGCUGGCUUGUUCUGAUCAGAAUCCAAACAAGAUUCAUACUUUGCAAUUCGUUCUUAUGUUUUUUUCUUUUUCAAAUUGGAGCCGUAGCUGCCGGCCUACACCACAACCAUAGCCACACGGGAUCCAAGCUGCAUCUGCGACCUACACCACGGCAACACUGGAUCCCCGCCCAACCCAUUGAACAAGGCCAGGAAUUGAACCUGCAUCCUCAGGGAUACUAGUCGGAUUCAUUUCCACUGCACCAUGAUGAGAACUUCCUGUUCUUACGUUUCUUAAGUCUCUUAAUCUUAUACUACUCACAAAGAAAUGAACUCAAAAUGGAUUAAAACCUUAAACAUAAGACCUAAAAUUGUAAAGCUCCUAGGGAGAGAAAAAAAAAAAAAAUAAGGAAAAAGCUCCUUGAUACUGGUCUUGGCAACAAUUUUUGGUUUAUGACACCAAAAGUAUAAGCAACAAGAGCAAAAAUAAACAACUCAACUAAAAAUUUCUGCACAGCCAACAAAACCAUCAACAAAAUGAAAAGGCAAGGAGAACGGGAAAAAAAUACGGGCAAACUAUGUACCUGAUUAAGAAGACAAUAUCCAAAAUAUAUAAAAAAGCUCCUACAACUCAAGAGCUAAAAAACGACCAACCUAAAAUGAGGCAAAGGAACGCAAUAGACUUUUCGCAAAGACACACAGAGGGCCAAAAGGUCUGAGAAAAGAUGCUCGGCAUCAGUACACACCAGAGAAAUGCCAAUCAGAAAGGACACAGGGAGGUCCCACUGUGGCUCAGAGGUUAACGAACCUGACCAGCAUCCAUGAGAUGUGGGUUCCACCCCUGGCCUUGCUCAGUAGGUUAAGGUUCCAAUUUGACCCCUAGCCUGGGAACCCCCAUAAGCUGUGUGUAUGGCCCUAAAAAGACAAAAAAUAAAAUAAAAUGAAAAUAACACAGUAAGAAUCACCUCACACCUGUUAGAAUGGCUAUCAUCAAAAGACAGGAUAUGGUAAGUGUUGGUGAGGAUGUGGAGAAAAGGGAGUCCUCAUACACUGUUGGGAUACUGGGAAUAUGAGUCCUGUGCAGAAGAAACACAGCCAGGUCUAAAGCCCUCUAUACAGAAUGCUCUAGUUUCUCAGUCAUCUACCUUGUGGAGUUGAGCAGAGAGCAAACAGUCUGAGAAUUUGAUAAUGACCUUGCUCUCAAGAAAGAUUUCGCUGUCAUGUUCAAUACGAUGAUAUGUCAUAUCAACACUUCCUCAAUAUAAUAUAUCACCCACAGGAAGGUUCUCAAAACCUCCAUACAAAGGUCAUUUCAGAGAAGUGCUUCAAGAUGCUUAAAAAUUAACUGGAAAAAAAAGGACAAAGCCAGAGAAGUGGUCAACAAGAGUGGAGGAAGAUUUUUAACCUCGAAGAAGUAGUCAUUUUACAGAAGGUAGUUAUAUCAGAAAGAGUCUAAGUCAAAUUUUUAUGUGCAUACAAAUCACCUGGGGAUUUUAUUAAAAUGCAGAUUCUCAGUCUUUAGGCCUGGAAUGGGCCUAAGACUCUGCAUUUCUAACAAAGCUCCCAGGUGAUGCUGAAAAUGCUGCUCCGUGGACCAGUUAGGUAGCUAAAGUCCCAACUUCAGUGAAGGCACCUGGAAAGACAAUGCUCCCUGCAACUUCUCUCCUUCUCAUGCCCCUUCCACUUCCCCCUUCCUUCUAACCCCUUUCACUCUUCACUCACCCCUAGGCACGAAAAAUAAUUCCUCUAACUGUUCAAAAUACAACCAUUGGGACUUCCCAUCGUGGCUCAGUGGUUAACGAAUCUGACUAGGAACCAUGGGGUUGCAGGUUCGAUCCCUGACCUUGCUCGGUGGGGUGGGGAUCCGGCAUUGCCGUGAGCUGCAGUGUGGGUUGAGGACACGGCUUGGAUCCCGCAUUGCUAUGGCUCUGGCAUAGGCCGGUGGCUGCAGUUCAAUUGGACCCCUCGCCUAACAGCCUCCAUUUGCGGUGGGUGCAGUCCUAGAAAAGACAAAAAAAAAAAAAACCAUUCCUAGUGAGCAAGUUAAAAUGUUAUGCAUGGGACAUCUGUUUCUGGUAAUAUGGCUGAUUAUCUCCAUCUGAAAACCUUCCUACUAAAAAGCUAUGUUAAAAAUACUAGAGAACAUAUUUCAUAUGAGUUCUUAAGGUAUAGUGGAGUUUGCAAGAGAGUAAAGAAAAUCCUUGGGGGAGUUCCCAUUGUGGCACAGUGAAAACAAAUCCAACUGGUAUCCAUGACAAUGCGAGUUCAAUCCCUAGCCUCGCUCAGUGGGUUGGAGAUCUGGCAUUGCCGUGAGCUGUGGUAUAGGUUGCAGACAUGGCUCAGAUCCUGCGUUGCUGUGGCUGUGGUGCAGGCUGGCAGCUGUAUUAGUCCAAAAACUUCUAUAUGCCAUGGGUAUGGCCCCAAAAAGCAAAAAAGAAAAAAGAAAAGAAAAGAAAAGAAAAUCCUUGGGUGUUGAAAGCACUGUUAAACCAGAAAGGUAAGAGCAUCAGCAGAUGCUGUGCAUUUUGGACCAGUUCCAGUCACCUAGAAAUAGGUUUUUAUUCACACACUGAAACAAGGUGAAAGACACUGGGUCUGUAUGCUGAGUGGUAUAUAGGAAACAGGAAUUCCACAUAGUGCCAGGAUGACCAAAGGGAACCCCUCUAAGAAAGAGAAAUUAGAAAACAUCCACUCACCAGCACAAAGAGACAAGAGUAAAGCCUGACUCAUCUUGGGCUCCGAGCAGAAAAAAAAAAAUUUCACCUAGAACUUUGGGUUUUCCCUCACUCAAACUUGAGAAAUUGUCAUUAUUCAAGUUGUCCAUGAAUUUCUAACCAGCAUAAUUAGCAUAAAAGGUGGCUCUGAGUCAGUAAUACCCCUGGGUACCUAGCAGAGGCAAAUACAGGACUUCUUGGUACAGACACACCCUCAAGUUACACUACAAAGUCCAAUUAAAUAAACCCUGCUAAAGAUGUGCUAAAAAUAAAGACAUUAAAAACAUACAAGGAAACAAUCAACCAUGAGGAACAGACAGCAAACAGAUGAACAGAAGCAUUAGAUAUCAAAAACUUCAAAUAAUUGAACUACAGGAUAAAAAUCAUUAAAAGGAAAUGAUUUAAAAUAAAACAGAGGAGUUCCUGUUAUAGCACGUGGAAAUGAAUCCAGCUAGGAACCAUGAAGUUGUGGGUUAGAUCCCCGGCCUCGCUUAGUGGAUUAAGGAUCCAGUAUUAGCUCCGACUAGACCCCUAGCCUGGGAAUCUCCAUAUGCUACAGGUGCAGCCUUAAAAAGCAAAAAUAAAUUAUUUAAUUAAUUAAAUUAAAGUAAAAUAAAUAAAUUUAAAAAACAGAAAAAGAAUUGAGAAUAUAAGAAAUAUCGUUAUGAAAAGAGAAAGGAUAAAUAUGCAAAUGUACCAACUAGGACCUCUAGAAAGGGAAAAUUAUAGUCAUUGAAAUAAAAAAAAAAAAAACUUGAGGACUGUUUAAACAGCAGAGAAGACAAAGCAAAAUAGAUAAUAAAUUGGAAAAUAGAUUUGAGAAAAUUACACAGAGAGUUGCAGUGAUAGAAAAUUUGAAAAAGUUUGAGAGAUACAGAAAAGAGAAUAAGAAGACCCAACACAUGUGUAAUAGGGGCUCUAAAAGCAGAAAAUAAAGAGAAUGGAGGAAACAGAGAAAUGGUAGCUGAGAAUUUUCAAAGACAGACAAGAAUCCUCAUAUUCACGAAGAAGAUAAAACCUCGAGCAAGAUUUUAAAAACCCACAUCAGGACAAAUCAUAAUGAAACUGCAAAGCACUGAAAACAAAGAGAUCUUAAAACUAAAGAGUUGCUUCAAAGAAGUAACGAUUUGACUGACUCAACAAUAAGCCAGAAAACAGUAAGAAAAUUUCUUCAAAAUGAUGAGAGAAAAUUUCUUCAAAAUGUAGAAGGCUACAGGGAGCCAAAAUAUCGUACCAGGCGAGAACCCAAUUACAGUCUCAGACAAACCCUGAAAGAGCUCACAAGGAGUAGACCCUGACUAAAACAACUUCUAAGGUUUGUUUCUCGGAAACAAAGUAAUUAGACCUAGGAGGAGUCGGCUACAAGAUGGAGAGAGGAGCACUGGAAAACUGAAACACAUCUGCAGUCCGCCAGACGUGAGACACCAAUAUCAUGUGCUAUCACUUAUAUGUGAAAUCUAAAAACAGCAUCCAGUGUACUUCUUAGCAGAAGAGAUACUGACUCACAGACUUUGAAAAACUUACGGUUUCCAAGGGAGACAGGUUGGGCUGGGGGUUUGGGAUGGAAAUGCUGUAAAAUUGGGUUGAGAUGAUCACUGUGCGACUAUAAAUGUAAUAAAAUGCAUUCAGUUAAAAAGAGAAAAACUUACUAGCAUUAGGAUGUAUUAAUUUUAUGUCUAUAACCAUUUGAAGUAUAAUUUAGAAACUCCUAGUACAGUUGAAGAUGCAUACCCCACAGCUCAACAAUCAGUCAAAAUCCCAGGUUAUACCCAAGAGAUUGCACAAGAAGACACGUAAGAAUGCUACUAAACCACUGUGUAUAGUAGCAAAAAAUAGAUUAUCUAAAUGGCCAUCAACAGGGAAAUGCACGAAUAAAAUGGAAUACCACAUAGAAGGCAAGAUGAAUCAAGAGUUUCAUUUGUCAACAUACUAUUUUGUUAUACAUGUAUGUGUGACUGGGUCACCUUGCUGUACAGUAGAAAAUUGAUGGACUACUGUAAACCAGCUAUAAUGGAAAAAAUUAAAAUCGUUACCAAAAAAACAUAGUAUUUUCUGAAAAAAGCAAGCUACAGAAGGCUACAUACAUCAUGGUGACUUCUAAUUAAAAUAUUUAGACAUCCAAAAUAAUACAGUUUACAGAUAACUUACCUAUAAACGAAAGUAUAAAAUCAUACAUGGGAAUGUAAUAUAGCAAAGUCAGAGUAGUAGUUAACUCUGAAAAAGGAAGAAGGGGAAUGGGAUUGAGGGGAGAUACACUGGCAGUUUCACCCACAUUUUUAACACAUUACUUAAAAAAAAAAAAAAAAAAAAAAA